UUCUGAUCUGUGCUGGUUGUGAUGUUUAUGAAUUCCAACAUGGUCUCCGUUAACGUAGCUCAGAUCAAUUAUUCAUAAUAAAUCAGUUUUUGUCUACUUUAUUUUGACAACUAGAACUAAAAUCUCACCCUGAGCAGAAAGUUUCAGGAAGAUGUCAGAAAUGCCCAGAUUUUUCGGUUUAAACUUCUCCUAAAAUGUCAGCUGUGGUAGGAGUAGCUUGUGACGUCAUGGCUCGGUCCUGUCCAAUCAGAACGCAGAUUUAGUCCGUUCAGCGCCGAACUCAAACCGUUGAAGCCCUGUGCUGCUUCGCUCCGACCGUUGGUUCUGCCGGUUCAGCAGAUGAUCAGGCCAGCUUGUUUGGCUGAACCUGAUCUGAGAGGCAGAGAUGAGCAGCUGGAGCCACAGAACCAGUUCCAAGAGUCGGUCCAGACGGGUCAAAAGGUUCUCCAAAGUGUCUCUACAGAAGCCUGGAUGGACCAAAGAGGAGGCAAGAAUGAUGAUGAUGAUGAUGAUGGUGAUGACAGUGAUGAUGAUGAUGAUGAUGAUGAUGGUGAU